GGGGAUAUAGCUCAGUUGGUAGAGCACCUGCCUUGCACGCAGGGGGUCAGCGGUUCGAGUCCGCUUAUCUCCA
rnacentral:tRNA from 1 species